CAAGGUCUAAUUAGGACCCAACCUGUUUAAGAAUGAAAUACGUUGGCUGGUGCUGGUCUAUGUGGAAUUAGGCCUACCGAGUCCAGAUUAGGUCUAUGUUGUCUAAUUACUUGAAGCAGUUAUAUAAGACCGGAUUAAAUUAACACCAUAACAGCAUCGUACUAAUUGAUCAUAAUUCUCAUUUCCUUUCUCUCUCUAACUUUCAUGUUCUCUUUCCCGAAACCCUAAAACUUCAUUGAUGAAGCCAUGCAACCUAUAAUUUGAGGGAAGUAUGAAGAAUCGAAGGUGGCAAUUGAAGCAUUAAAGUUAUCUAUAUAAGGUGUCUACAGGAUUGUUAUCCGAAUUCGUAACGAGAUGGACAUUUGUCAUGUUGAUGAACCUCGUAGAUGUGGUCUAUGCCACCAACAUGGUCAUAAUCGAAGAAAUUGUACAAAUUCCCAAUCAAGAUUCGUUUCGUUGUGAAAGUUGUAAUUUUUUUAAUUGGUAUUUUAAUAUCGUCGGAUAAUAAUUUUAUUUUGAUACUUAUUUUACAUAUCAUUUAAAAAGUAUCAUAUUUUUUUGUAAAAAA